CCUACGGGAGGCUGCAGUGAGGAAUAUUGGUCAAUGGGCUCAGGCCUGAACCAGCCAAGUCGCGUGAGGGAAGACGGUCCUAUGGAUUGUAAACCUCUUUUGUCGGGGAGCAACGAGGCCACGUGUGGCCGAAGUGAGAGUACCCGAAGAAAAAGCAUCGGCUAACUCCGUGCCAGCAGCCGCGGUAAUACGGAGGAUGCGAGCGUUAUCCGGAUUUAUUGGGGUUAAAGGGUGCGUAGGCGGAACAUUAAGUCAGCGGUAAAAUCGAGGGGCUCAACCCCUUUAAGCCGUUGAAACUGGUGAGCUUGAGUGGGCGAGAAGUAUGCAGAAUGCGUGGUGUAGCGGUGAAAUGCGUAGAUAUACGGAGGAACACCAGUGGCGAAGGCGGAUUGCUGGACAGUAACUGACGCUGAGGCGCGAAAGCGUGGGGAGCAAACAGGAUUAGAUACCCUUGUAGUC
rnacentral:rRNA from 1 species